rnacentral:rRNA from 1 species
GACGUAGGGCGCGAGCGUUGUCCGGAUUUAUUGGGCGUAAAGAGCUCGUAGGCGGCUUGUCGCGUCGACCGUGAAAACUCACAGCUCAACUGUGAGCUUGCGGCCGAUACGGGCAGGCUAGAGUUCGGUAGGGGAGACUGGAAUUCCUGGUGUAGCGGUGAAAUGCGCAGAUAUCAGGAGGAACACCGGUGGCGAAGGCGGCUCACUGGCCCGGUACUGACGCUGAGGUGCGAAAAGCGUGGGGGAGCAAACAGG